rnacentral:rRNA from 1 species
UACGUAGGGUGCGAGCGUUGUCCGGAAUUACUGGGCGUAAAGCGUGCGCAGGCGGUUGUGCAAGACCGAUGUGAAAGCCCCGGGCUUAACCUGGGAACGGCAUUGGUGACUGCACGGCUAGAGUGUGUCAGAGGGGGGUAGAAUUCCACGUGUAGCAGUGAAAUGCGUAGAGAUGUGGAGGAAUACCGAUGGCGAAGGCAGCCCCCUGGGAUGACACUGACGCUCAUGCACGAAAGCGUGGGGAGCAAACAGG